GACGAACGCUGGCGGCGUGCUUAACACAUGCAAGUCGAACGGAAAGGCCCUGCUUUUGUGGGGUGCUCGAGUGGCGAACGGGUGAGUAACACGUGAGUAACCUGCCCUUGACUUUGGGAUAACUUCAGGAAACUGGGGCUAAUACCGGAUAGGAGCUCCUGCUGCAUGGUGGGGGUUGGAAAGUUUCGGCGGUUGGGGAUGGACUCGCGGCUUAUCAGCUUGUUGGUGGGGUAGUGGCUUACCAAGGCUUUGACGGGUAGCCGGCCUGAGAGGGUGACCGGGCACAUUGGGACUGAGAUACGGCCCAGACUCCUACGGGAGGCAGCAGUGGGGAAUAUUGCACAAUGGGCGGAAGCCUGAUGCAGAAACGCCGCGUGCGGGAUGACGGCCUUCGGGUUGUAAACCGCUUUCGCCUGUGACGAAGCGUGAGUGACGGUAAUGGGUAAAGAAGCACCGGCUAACUACGUG
rnacentral:rRNA from 1 species